rnacentral:rRNA from 1 species
AGAGUUUGAUCAUGGCUCAGAUUGAACGCUGGCGGCAGGCCUAACACAUGCAAGUCGAGCGGUAGCACAGAGAGCUUGCUCUCGGGUGACGAGCGGCGGACGGGUGAGUAAUGUCUGGGAAACUGCCUGAUGGAGGGGGAUAACUACUGGAAACGGUAGCUAAUACCGCAUAAUGUCGCAAGACCAAAGUGGGGGACCUUCGGGCCUCAUGCCAUCAGAUGUGCCCAGAUGGGAUUAGCUAGUAGGUGGGGUAACGGCUCACCUAGGCGACGAUCCCUAGCUGGUCUGAGAGGAUGACCAGCCACACUGGAACUGAGACACGGUCCAGACUCCUACGGGAGGCAGCAGUGGGGAAUAUUGCACAAUGGGCGCAAGCCUGAUGCAGCCAUGCCGCGUGUAUGAAGAAGGCCUUCGGGUUGUAAAGUACUUUCAGCGGGGAGGAAGGCGUUAAGGUUAAUAACCUUGACGAUUGACGUUACCCGCAGAAGAAGCACCGGCUAACUCCGUGCCAGCAGCCGCGGUAAUACGGAGGGUGCAAGCGUUAAUCGGAAUUACUGGGCGUAAAGCGCACGCAGGCGGUCUGUCAAGUCGGAUGUGAAAUCCCCGGGCUCAACCUGGGAACUGCAUUCGAAACUGGCAGGCUAGAGUCUUGUAGAGGGGGGUAGAAUUCCAGGUGUAGCGGUGAAAUGCGUAGAGAUCUGGAGGAAUACCGGUGGCGAAGGCGGCCCCCUGGACAAAGACUGACGCUCAGGUGCGAAAGCGUGGGGAGCAAACAGGAUUAGAUACCCUGGUAGUCCACGCCGUAAACGAUGUCGAUUUGGAGGUUGUGCCCUUGAGGCGUGGCUUCCGGAGCUAACGCGUUAAAUCGACCGCCUGGGGAGUACGGCCGCAAGGUUAAAACUCAAAUGAAUUGACGGGGGCCCGCACAAGCGGUGGAGCAUGUGGUUUAAUUCGAUGCAACGCGAAGAACCUUACCUGGUCUUGACAUCCACAGAACUUUCCAGAGAUGGAUUGGUGCCUUCGGGAACUGUGAGACAGGUGCUGCAUGGCUGUCGUCAGCUCGUGUUGUGAAAUGUUGGGUUAAGUCCCGCAACGAGCGCAACCCUUAUCCUUUGUUGCCAGCGGUCCGGCCGGGAACUCAAAGGAGACUGCCAGUGAUAAACUGGAGGAAGGUGGGGAUGACGUCAAGUCAUCAUGGCCCUUACGACCAGGGCUACACACGUGCUACAAUGGCAUAUACAAAGAGAAGCGACCUCGCGAGAGCAAGCGGACCUCAUAAAGUAUGUCGUAGUCCGGAUUGGAGUCUGCAACUCGACUCCAUGAAGUCGGAAUCGCUAGUAAUCGUAGAUCAGAAUGCUACGGUGAAUACGUUCCCGGGCCUUGUACACACCGCCCGUCACACCAUGGGAGUGGGUUGCAAAAGAAGUAGGUAGCUUAACCUUCGGGAGGGCGCUUACCACUU